GGUUGAUCCUGCCAGUGCCGAUAUGCUUAUGUCAAAGAUUAAGCCAUGCAUGUCUAAGAACGCCGUUUACGGUUUUUCUGUAUAUAGCUCAUUACAACAGUACUAUUUGCCUCGAUUAAUCCUACCUAGGAUACUUUCGAUAAUCCUGGAGUCAAUACCGUGCCCCUACGGGGAAAUAAGGUCACCAGCCUGCUCUGCAGUUUGUGUACCGUAAUAUCUGAAUUUCUUAUGAAACCGAGCGUAAGCUUCGGCAAAUCGUGCAAAGCACUGUCCUUUUAACUUGAGAUGGUAG
rnacentral:rRNA from 1 species